CAGCCGCGGUAAUACGUAGGGACCAAGCGUUGUUCGGAUUUACUGGGCGUAAAGGGCGCGUAGGCGGCUUGACAAGUCACUUGUGAAAUCUCCGGGCUUAACUCGGAACGGCCAAGUGAAACUGUCACGCUAGAGUGCGGAAGGGGCAAUCGGAAUUCUUGGUGUAGCGGUGAAAUGCGUAGAUAUCAAGAGGAACACCUGAGGUGAAGACGGGUUGCUGGGCCGACACUGACGCUGAUGCGCGAAAGCCAGGGGAGCAAACGGGAUUAGAUACCCCGGUAGUCCUGGCCCUAAACGAUGAAUACUUGGUGUCUGGAGUUUCAACACUCCGGGUGCCGUCGCUAACGUUUUUA
rnacentral:rRNA from 1 species